CAGCACAUCUACAAAUCAAACAAUGGCCGCUAAAGCUGCGUUUUACCUCAGAUGAUAAUGAACCGCAGAGCAGCUACAGCUCAGGUAACGUGGGUUAAUAGCUUCGUGUGCUACUUUAAUUUCAGUGAAAAUCUGAUGCUAUGAAACUGGUAAAACCGACUUAUGGGUUUACUUUAGAAUAACAAAUCAAUUUAUUUAUAUUUGUAACUGUUUACAUGAUUUUAAAUAAAAGACUAUUUAAAUUAGUAGGCCACUGACCAUCUUUGAGUUGGGGUUGGUAUAACGUUAAAAAAAGUUUUACAUGUAUAUAUCGAAUAUAAUUCAUAACACAUUAUUUGUUACUAAAACCCUUAGACAGACAAUAACAAACCCAAAAAAUAGGAAGGGCGUGUUAGUUGGCAAUGUAACUAAACAACCAACACGACAGAGCCGUCGUGUUUUGUUUAGCAUUGCGUGGAAGGCUGCAUAGCAGAGGGCGAUCUUUUUGUGUUGCCAUGUCCGCUUAUUAUAAUAAUCUCUGAAAUCGUUGUUUGGCCUUAGCUGAGAAAGUGGCAAAUUUUAUCGAGCAGUUAAAGGUGCGGGUCGCUAUAUUUGGAUCUGUUUUUGGAAAUAUAAAGCAUUUGGAUUUAUUACUUAUUGUUAUUUUUAUUUAUUUAUUUUUUUGUUUGUUUGUUUGUUUGUUUGUUUGUUUUGUUUUGUAGCCAGAUCUGGCAACAUGAAUGAUUUAAAAUGAACAUAUCACUUUCCCGGUUGUGGCAAGAAGCGACACAGCUCCGACCGGAAACUAACAAUGAAAUUCAUUUUUCUACCUUUGUGUUUUAUUAACGUCUACACCUACCACAAAAGUUUGUCCUUACCAUAAUACAAAAAGUGUAUUAUUCUUGUACAGUGUGACAAAAAUAACGUUGGAUUGAUGUGCGCAUACAGCCAUAGCUGUCUCCCUUCUAGCCUUAUCCCCAUUUCUCUUUCGAUUUUCAUGAUUACGCAUACGAUCGAGCGGAUUCAUUAGGUUGCUAAAGUGGCACUUCAUGCUCAUGUCUACAUAAAGCAUACAGUUUUUAAUCUAUAAACUUGGCUUGUAAAAAGGGAAAUACAUCUGAUGCACUUGUCUUUGUAUGCAAAACGAAAACAGCAUUGCAAAAUGAAACAAACUUGCACAGUAUUUAUAAUGAAGUGCAAACCCUUAAUCUCCCUAUAUGCUGAAGGCAGUAAUUGACGUUUGGGAAGAUAGACCACCCACAUCUGUUCCUUUACUGUCUGAUGCGCAUUAAAUACAAAAUUUCAGUAAUCAAGCUUCAACCACGCUAACUAGAUGAAGACAACAUCUUGGAAGUAAUUACCUUUUUGGGGCGUUUUGGUUUACACAGUGCUGAAUCAGAUCUGUCAUUCUCCCGGGUUUGGUCUGCAUUAAUAAUUCAAUGUUAAUUUGUGCUGUGUUUGAUAUAUUAUAUUAUGUGUGUGUACUUGUUAAUGCUACAUUGUGGGGACACAAUGUAAAAAAAUAUUAAAAAUAGUAAAUGAUGUUUAUCUGAAAAUGUAACAAUACAAACAUGUUUUCUGUAUGGGGUAGGUUUAGGAUUAGGUUUGGGUUAGGGGAUAGACAAUAUCAUUUGGUCAGUAUAAAAACUAUAGAAGUCUAUGGAAAGUCCCCACAAUUCACAAAAACAAACAUGUGUGUGUGUGUGUGUGUAAAUAUAUGAACUGAUUGCUUUUCUGACCUGUUUUUCUAUGUUUCCUGGAGAUGCAGCACAUCACAACUGCAGUUACAAUCAACAGAGAUCCAGCAGCAAAGAUCAGCACUAUGUACAAUAAAGACAGAAGAAUCUUUGCUCCACAGCUGGUGGGCUACAACUGUGCCUUUGGUGUUGGUUCAGAUGGAGUGUCAGUGUUUGUGAUGAUAGGAAAUUCAUUCACUUUACAUAGUGAUGUUGAAAUAAACCAGCAAGACCGAAUUACAUGGUAUUUUAAUGACAGUCGUAUAGCUCAAAUCACUGGAAAUCAGAAUAAGAUUUGUACAGAUGUUCAGUGCAAUGCAAGAUUCAGAAACAGACUGAAACUUGAUCACCAAACAGCAUCUCUGACCAUCAUAAACACCAGAACCACAGACUCUGGAGAUUAUAAAUUAAAGAUCACCAGCCGCAGCAUCACAAAUAUCUUUAAUGUUACUGUACAUGAUGUUCCUGCUGCUCAACAAGAUGAAAUAAAGAGAAAGUCAGUGAAGGUGGGAGAGUCCGUCACUUUAGAUCCUGGUUUAAUGAAAAACCCAAGUGACCUGAUGACGUGGUAUUUUGUGGACAUCUGCAUCGCUGAAAUCACUGGAGAUAAGAGUAAUAUCUGUACAGAUGAUCAAUAUAAAGAGAGAUUCAAAGACAGACUGAAGGUGGAUGAUCAGACUGGAUCUCUGACCAUCACAAACACCAGAAACACAGACUCUGGAGCUUAUGAACUGAAAAUCAACAGGAGCAGAUUCAGCAUCCGUAUAAGCUUCACUGUUACUGUCACUGCCGUUUCAGAUUCAGGUUUGUCUUCAGCUGCUGCUGUUGCUGUUCCUGUUGUUCUGCUGCUCGUUGCUGCUGCUGUGAUUUAAUAUUACAAAUCCAAAAAAUAAUAAUAAUAAUAAUGUCCUACAUCAAGGGGCAGCACAACAACACACCAUCAGAAUUCUGUCUUAUAAAUACCCACCAUCUGUUUUCGUAAAGGAUCGUGUUGAAGACUCCUGAUGGGACAUCCCAUAAUACCACUAAGGAUGCCAGUGAAACACCACAGUAACCUUACUACUUUUUUUUUUUUUUUAACCCCUUAACUGUCACCCCCCAUUUUCACCCCCUGUCACCCCCCAACUCAGAUGUGAAAGUGCAUUAGCCAAAUUUAUUUUUUUUAUAAUUCAUGAACGCAUUUUAAUACAGGCCUAAAGUUGGUCUCUUUUUAAAGCAGACAAUCAGCAGAUUAUUAAGUGAAAUCAUUUAAAUAAAUUAAAAUAUAAAAAGUUAUAGAUUUUAAAUUUACUGUAAAAAAAUGUACCAUGCUAUUUUUAUAUAAAAUUAAUAUUUUGCAAAAUAGUUUUUAAUCAGAAAUUGCUAUAAAAUGAAAACCUCCUGUUAUCAUGUAGAUUUUUUGUGGUGCAAUCUUGUUGAAAAUUAAUUUAUUUCUGUUCCUACAUAAGUUGUAACAAAAACCAAAAAAAAAAAAAAAAAUAUCUAUUUAGGAGUCUUAGACCUUUCCAACGAUAUUAGUGAUUAGAUUUAAUUGUAGACAGUUAAGGGGUUAAAGAGAAGAUGGGAAAAAUUGGAAAAAAGAAGAGCAUCAUCUGAAACACAUCACUCACAGAGAUUACAAUGAUACCACAAUUUCAGUAGUCAGUACCAAUACCAGUGAAGUUUAUUCAUACCAAUUUCAAUACAUCAAAAAAUGCUGUAAAACAGUCAUGAUUUCAUGUCAUUUGCAUUAUGAGACCUAAUUAUGCACUGAUCUGUUUGACAUACGAGUUGUUUUGCUCUUUUUGUGUACAUCUUUCUAAAACACAAAUACCUCACCUAUUUAACUGCUCUCAAACAGUCGCACAAGUGCUCUACACAGAUCAUGUGCACAAAUACACAACGAAUGUUUGAAGGUACUGUUCUAGCACUAAAUGCAAUACUGAUACUUUAGGUGCUAUUCCCGGUAUUAUUGCUGUUAAAUUAACUUUAGUUUUACCUUUAAGUUCCCUAGUGAAAAAAAGUAUACUUUAUUGUAUUUGUAAUAUAUUUCCUGUUUCAAUAGUAUAUUGCAAAUAUACUAACCAAAAAUUGUACUAACUUUAAAUAUGUUAUAAGUGUAUUACCACCAUGCUUUUAACUAUUUUCACAAUACAACU